CAGCAGCCGCGGGAAAACGGAGGGUGCAAGCGUUAAUCGGAAUUACUGGGCGUAAAGCGCACGCAGGCGGUCUGACAAGUCAGAUGUGAAAUCCCCGGGCUUAACCUGGGAACUGCAUUUGAAACUGUCAGGCUGGAGUCUUGUAGAGGGGGGUAGAAUUCCAGGUGUAGCGGUGAAAUGCGUAGAGAUCUGGAGGAAUACCGGUGGCGAAGGCGGCCCCCUGGACAAAGACUGACGCUCAGGUGCGAAAGCGUGGGGAGCAAACAGGAUUAGAGACCCCCGUAGUCCCUGUCCUUAUACC
rnacentral:rRNA from 1 species